rnacentral:rRNA from 1 species
UCCAGGCAAAUCCGGAAAAUCAAGGCUGAGGCGUGAUGACGAGGCACUACGGUGCUGAAGCAACAAAUGCCCUGCUUCCAGGAAAAGCCUCUAAGCAUCAGGUAACAUCAAAUCGUACCCCAAACCGACACAGGUGGUCAGGUAGAGAAUACCAAGGCGCUUGAGAGAACUCGGGUGAAGGAACUAGGCAAAAUGGUGCCGUAACUUCGGGAGAAGGCACGCUGAUAUGUAGGUGAAGUCCCUCGCGGAUGGAGCUGAAAUCAGUCGAAGAUACCAGCUGGCUGCAACUGUUUAUUAAAAACACAGCACUGUGCAAACACGAAAGUGGACGUAUACGGUGUGACGCCUGCCCGGUGCCGGAAGGUUAAUUGAUGGGGUCAGCGCAAGCGAAGCUCUUGAUCGAAGCCCCGGUAAACGGCGGCCGUAACUAUAACGGUCCUAAGGUAGCGAAAUUCCUUGUCGGGUAAGUUCCGACCUGCACGAAUGGCGUAAUGAUGGCCAGGCUGUCUCCACCCGAGACUCAGUGAAAUUGAACUCGCUGUGAAGAUGCAGUGUACCCGCGGCAAGACGGAAAGACCCCGUGAACCUUUACUAUAGCUUGACACUGAACAUUGAGCCUUGAUGUGUAGGAUAGGUGGGAGGCUUUGAAGUGUGGACGCCAGUCUGCAUGGAGCCGACCUUGAAAUACCACCCUUUAAUGUUUGAUGUUCUAACGUGGACCCGUGAUCCGGGUUGCGGACAGUGUCUGGUGGGUAGUUUGACUGGGGCGGUCUCCUCCUAAAGAGUAACGGAGGAGCACGAAGGUUGGCUAAUCCUGGUCGGACAUCAGGAGGUUAGUGCAAUGGCAUAAGCCAGCUUGACUGCGAGCGUGACGGCGCGAGCAGGUGCGAAAGCAGGUCAUAGUGAUCCGGUGGUUCUGAAUGGAAGGGCCAUCGCUCAACGGAUAAAAGGUACUCCGGGGAUAACAGGCUGAUACCGCCCAAGAGUUCAUAUCGACGGCGGUGUUUGGCACCUCGAUGUCGGCUCAUCACAUCCUGGGGCUGAAGUAGGUCCCAAGGGUAUGGCUGUUCGCCAUUUAAAGUGGUACGCGAGCUGGGUUUAGAACGUCGUGAGACAGUUCGGUCCCUAUCUGCCGUGGGCGCUGGAGAACUGAGGGGGGCUGCUCCUAGUACGAGAGGACCGGAGUGGACGCAUCACUGGUGUUCGGGUUGUCAUGCCAAUGGCACUGCCCGGUAGCUAAAUGCGGAAGAGAUAAGUGCUGAAAGCAUCUAAGCACGAAACUUGCCCCGAGAUGAGUUCUCCCUGACCCUUUAAGGGUCCUGAAGGAACGUUGAAGACGACGACGUUGAUAGGCCGGGUGUGUAAGCGCAGCGAUGCGUUGAGCUAACCGGUACUAAUGAACCGUGAGGCUUAACCUUACAACGCCGAAGGUGUUU